rnacentral:rRNA from 1 species
AGCUCUGUAAGCGUAUACCAAAGUUGUUGCAGUUAAAACGCUCGUAGUCGGACUUUGGCGGUUUCGGGAGUGCGCCGCGUCGUGCGGACACUUCGCAGGAACUGCUUUUGUGGGUUUCGCGUCAGAUGAGGGCUGUUAAUUCGGUAACGUCUGUACGCAACCACUGUUUACUGUGAGAAAAUCAGAGUGCUCAAAGCAGGCAUUUGCCGUGAAUGUAUUAGCAUGGAAUAAUAGAAUAGGACUUAGUCUUAUUUUGUUGGUUUGUUAGGACUGAGUAAUGAUUAAGAGGGACAGUUGGGGGCAUUUGUAUUUCGGCGCUAGAGGUGAAAUUCUUAGAUUGCCGAAAGACAAACUGCUGCGAAAGCGUCUGCCAAGGAUGUUUUCAUUGAUCAAGAACGAA